rnacentral:rRNA from 1 species
CGCUGGCGGCGUGCCUAACACAUGCAAGUCGAGCGGAGUUAUCCGAGCGGAAGUUUUCGGAUGGAAGCAUGGAUAACUUAGCGGCGGACGGGUGAGUAACGCGUGAGAAACCUGCCUCUCAGUGGGGGGACAACAGUUGGAAACGACUGCUAAUACCGCAUAAUGUAUUCGGAGGGCAUCCUCUGGAUACCAAAGCUUUAUGUGCUGAGAGAUGGUCUCGCGUCUGAUUAGCUAGAUGGCGGGGUAACGGCCCACCAUGGCAACGAUGUCUAGGGGUUCUGAGAGGAAGGUCCCCCACACUGGAACUGAGACACGGUCCAGACUCCUACGGGAGGCAGCAGUGAGGAAUAUUGGUCAAUGGUCUGACGACUGAACCAGCCAUGCCGCGUGAAGGUCACGGCCCUAUGGGUCUUAAACUUCUUUUACCAGGGACGAACACAAUGACGGUACCUGGAGAAAAGCAACGGCUAACUACGUG